rnacentral:rRNA from 1 species
AUCGAACGCUGGCGGCAGGCCUAACACAUGCAAGUCGAACGGAAGCAGCGAGUUUGCUGCUGCAUUCAGCGGUGGCGCGGUGAGUCAUGCCUUGGAAUUUGGCUGAUCGUGCGGGAUAACGUGCGGAAACGGGCGCUAGUACCGCAUACGUCGUGUGGGAGCAAGUGGGGGAUCUUGGGUCCUCACGCUAUGAGAUUAGCCUAGGUCGGAUUCGAUAGUUGGAGGGGUAACGGCCUAGCAAGGCGACGAUCCGUAACUGGUCUGAGAGGAUGAUCAGUCACACGGGAACUGAGACACGGCCGAGACUCCGGCGCGAGGCAGCAGCGGGGAAUAUUGGACAAGGGGGGAGAGCGGGAUCCAGCCAUGUCGCGUGUGUGAAGAAGGACUUCGGAUGGGAGAGUGCUUAAGGUUGGGAGGAAGGACAGUAAGUUAAUACCUGACGGUUAUGACGGUACCGACAGAAUAAGCACCGGCUAACUUCGUG